UUUUUUCGGCAAAACAAAAUUUGUUUGAUUAAAAAAGACUAAAAUACAGAAAACUUUCCUGUAAUAACUCACUUUUUCACCUACCCCUGACAUUUAAAAACCUACACUUUGGCCCUUGUAAAAUAAAAAAUGUGCACUUCACCACCCCUACCGUUAGAGUUCCGUUAUAAAAUAUUUUUUUAUACCGAAAAUAUCCCUCCGUCAUCUUUUUUGUUGCUUCGCCUCCCUCUGGCUCGCCGCCUUGCCGCCGCCUCGCCCGCCUCGCCGUCCUCCACUACCCCGCCCUCGCCCACAUCCCCUUCGCGCUCCUCCGCCGCCUCGCUUUCGUCCUCGUUACUCUUUCCUAUCUCUCCAUAAACACCCACCUCGAUUUUCUUUCUAUUAUCGUCGAAAUCGAGGGGCGACGAGGGUGCAGGAGGAGAAGGGGAGUAGGUGUAGAAGGAAAUGGAGAGAAAUCGCGGACGAUUGAAGUAGGAAUCGCGGCCGAUCGAAGGGGCGGCUGAGGAAGAUAAGGAAGAAGACAAAAAUGGCAAGGGGCAAAAUGAUCAUUUUACACACCGUAACCUUUCUGUGAAUAUUUUUUAUUUUAUAAGGAGACAAAGUAUAAAAUUUUUAAUGUUAUGAGGGAAAAAUGAAAAAGCGAAUUAUUAUAAAGGGUUUUUCUGUAAUUUAGCCAUGGAAGGAAAGACACCGAAAGUGGCCUCAAUCCCGCAGCUGCGACAGUCGGGUAGUGGACUGGUGGGUGAGACAGUCUAUUCUGCUUCUGAAUCUCUGCUACCACUAGCUUUAAUUCGAAAGAUUGCGUGAACUCGGUCCGCGGUCGCAGUCAUGGACCACUUAAUACAAUAUUAUUAUUUUUUUUUAGAGAUAGGUAGCACGCUACCCGUUUCGUUUAUUUCAUUUAAAAAUAAACUUAGCUGAAAAUGUGAAUCAACUAGGAUUCGAACUUGGGUCUCGGAUACCAACCACCAAGCCCUUUACCACUUACUCUAGGGACGGUUGGUCUUAAUACAAUAUUUUUGGGUUAAUUUCAUACAGCGCUCUGUAAAUGUAUCGAAUAACAAAUAUAUCGAUCUCUAUAAAGUUUACUUUUUAUAUUUAUCCUUACUGUUUAUUUUCUUAAUAAAAGAUAAGUGAAAUGAUACUUUUACUAUGACAAAUAUAUCUCUUCAAAAGUUACAGAAAUGUCAUUCUAAAAAUUUUCAACGAUCAGUUUUUGUUAUAUUUUUUUAACCAAUCCUAGCAGUAAGGGUAUAUUUGAAAACGUUAGGAUUUUUGUAAUGAUAAAUAUAAAAGUUAAACUUUGUAGAGAUAUACCUGCUAUUCGAUAUAUUUACAGGAAGUUAUAUGGAAUUAACCCUACUUUUUUCUUAAUAUAUUUUUAC
rnacentral:lncRNA from 1 species